rnacentral:lncRNA from 1 species
UCUGUCCAAGUUCGCUGAGCAAUUCUAUAUCAGAAUUGAGUUUUGAAGAACAAAAAAUAUCACAUGCUGAUUAUUAGUAUAAAUUAUUUUGGUUGUUUUUCCUUAUUUUCUCUUCAACUUAUUUAUCCUUCACAUUUUUUGUAUCGACCUCUCACAAUUCACAAGGAUGUAGAAACUGUAGUUAAAAGAAAUAAUUGUGACUCAGCUUGGACCGUUGUCAAAUAGAUUUGGCCUCGACUGUCUCAAUUUUUUUUUUUUUUUAAUCAAUCGAAGUGAAGCUUAAUUUCACUAAUGCAAUACUCGACAUAAUUAAUAGUACUGGUAUGCAUUAAAUCGAAUUAUUUGCAAGAAGAGUUUAUAAUAGAGAAUAAAAAACUUGAAAUUCCUAUUUUCAUUUGCAAAAUCAAGUGGAUGGGAUUGAUUUGAGUGAUCGAUUUAACUUUUAAAGAGAAUUUGACUUUUCUUCUAACCAAAUUUAAAAAUUAUGCUUUUUUUAUUGUCUUUAUUCUGUACACAGGAAAAAUAAAAAAAUUCCUAAUAUGAGGACCGCAUAUCAUAAUCUGUAUUGGGAUUUGAAUAAAUCUUUAAUUAAAAAAGAAAAAGCCAAAAAGCCGAUUAAAAGCAUCCGCCGGUAUAUAUACAUAUUCUUUCGUAAUUCCGCCUAUAUUUGUUGCGUACUCAGAGUUUUUGAGUCUUCUUCCCUAAUUCUCUUGCUCUGAAAACGCCACACAGUAAAAGAAAGGGUUUUUGGGGGGUUUUGAUUCUAUGGGCUCAGGCCCAUCGUAAAACCUCCGUUUCACUCGCCAGAUGUCGUCAUCUCUUUCCAAAAGGAAGCUCGAUGAUUACUAUGCCGACGAUUCCUUCAUCAUCGACAUGAAUACGCUGCCUGCCGCCGCUAGGAUGCGAAAAGACCAAACUGCCCUCCCACCUUCUCCACCUCCUUUGUCCCUGCCCCCGCGAUCAUCACUCACGGAGUCAACUUGCUCUCUCAAUAGCAUUCAAUUUUUUGUCCGUAUUUUAUCUGACCAUACCCUUGUUCUCAAAACCGAUUGCUCCACUACGAUUAAGGAUAUUCAUCAACAAAUAGAGUCUAUUACUGGAAUUCCUGUAUUCGAGCAGCGAUUGAUAUACCGUGGUAAGCAAUUGCAGUGGGAACAAACUCUGGCAGAAUGCAAAAUCCAAAACGACGCAGGAUUGCAGCUGGUUGGACGAAUGCGGAGCACCGAGCAUCCCCAAGCCUGGCAGCUCGUCAACGACAUUAUUUUCUUAAUUUUCCAGCUUUACAAAGACACCCCGCCUCCUCCGCUGCCCGAUCUGCCUCCUCCAAAAACUGUCAAAUCACUGCUUGCUGAUUUUCUGUCUAGGACCCCGCGCGCCAACUCUCACAAGGCUUCUGGGCAUUUGUAGGUUUUCCUCUCUUCCUCUGCCCCUGCGGCCCUGGUGAUGCUUUACAUGUCAUCUCACAAACCGAACAGGGAUGCUGCUAAUGAAGCCAUCAAACAGUUCAUUGAAUCGAGUAAGAAUGUUUUGCCUAAGCAUAUGUAUUGUCAGUGUGCACCGAUUGUUUUAGAAUUUUGUAAGUUGUUGAGUAGGGCAGCUGGGACUGAUGAUCCCUUGUAUAAUGUGUGUCGAAGUACUAUGGGGGCGAUGGUGGAGUUUCUUGAGGUCGGGGUGAAGAAGGAGUCGAUUGGGGUUCAUGAUAUUUUUCCAUUUGUUAGUCAAUUAGCAGCCAAGUUAUCGCAAGAUUUAGUGCUGAGUAUGGAGUCAAGCUCGUUUGUAGGGCCCCUGUUGAGUGAUGUCCGAGAUUUCACAGCCUUUGUUGUCCCAGUGAGAAACAAGAUCAUGCUAGAAACCACUUUUUGCGGUCCUGUUAAGUUUCCUUUGAGCGAGCAAAGUUGGGUGUGUUAUGGGAAGGAAAUCAUAUUUCUGCACGAGAUUUUUAUUGAUUUAUUGGGGAAAUUGGAGGAUUGUUUGGGGAAAAUUGAGGAGCAGGUAGAUAUGAGAGCGAGAUCAGAUGGUCAGACCCUUUUCUUUGGAUGGUGCCAGUAUCUUGCAAUCCUGAAGGAACUGAAUAGUAUAUCUAAACUUUAUGAUGGUGCAGAAGAGGUUUUUUGGGAGAAAAUGAAACAGAAGAAGGAUGCCUUGUGUUAUCUUAUUGUUAGAUUUGCAAAGAGGAGCGAUGAGCACCAGUGGAUUCUUGAGCACAAGGAAGUGACUAAUUUUGAGGCGAGGAAGCAUCUAGCCAUGAUGAUACUCCCUGAAGUGAAGGAUGAGUAUGAUGAGCAGCACAAGAUGCUCAUUGACCGCUCACAUUUGUUGGCAGAAUCAUUCGAGUACAUUGCACAUGCAGAACUGGACUCACUGCGUGCUGGCUUAUUUAUGGAGUUCAAGAACGAGGAGGCAAAUGGCCCUGGUGUCUUGAGGGAGUGGUUCUUAUUGGUAUGCCAAGCAAUCUUCAACCCUCAAAAUGCACUCUUCUUGGCUUGCCCUAAUGAUCGUAGAAGGUUUUUUCCAAAUCCAGGUAAGGUUUCCUCCUCUUUCGUGCACACAUUCUGCAAAAAAUUAUUUGCUAAAGCACCCUCGUGUGAAAAUUCAUACUAUACUCUUGGUUGCAGCAAAUUGAGCUUUUUGUUAGCUUCUGUUAUUUUGCAAGUAUAUCGUAGAUGCCUAUCACAUCCCAAAUACUAUACAUGAGAGGAUGACAAGUAGCUUGAAGCAUAUAUAACUUCAGUUUUUCAUAGACUCAUAGGAGUAAUGAUUUAAGGUAGCAACUCUAAUUUACCCCUCUAUUACAGGUUUAUAAUUUUGAUGUUCACCUCAUGCACUUUGUACUCAUUCUGCGGAAAAGUAAUAAAACAGUGCUAUACUUCAUUUGCUUAGUCUCAUGCUAAGUAUAGCAAUGGUACAUAAAGAUUUCAUUUUUAUGAACACACCCUGUCAUGACGGUUGUCCAAUUUAAAAAUUGGACAAGUAAUUUCAGUUAAAUUUUCAAAUCAUUUUUUGGAUAUUGAAUAUAGCACUUGAAGCACCAACGAAUAGUAACUGUGCAUGGAAAAGAACAAAGAACUUGUGAACAUGAAAAGACUACUCUCCUUAUAUAAUUAGCCAGCAUACAGGCGAGUGAGAUUUUAUAUCCAUGACAUAAAUAAGAAUUGAUGGUUACCAACCUUCAAUCAUGCAACAGAAGGUUCUCGACAAUAUUGAUUACACAUCAGGAGAGGUGGUUUUCUUAGUACCAUAGAGUGAAUAAGUUAGAGGGAGGAGGGUGAACAAAAAUUAUUAAACAUAAUAUUUGAACUUGAUUAUUUUUCCCUUUCCCUUAUAAUUCUUGUUUAUUCCCUUUCUCUCUCUCUCCCUCUCUCUCUCUCUCUCUCUCUCUCUCUCUUUUUUUUUUUUUUUCGUUUUGCAUUCUUUUUCUGGGGACAUGGGUUGGUGUAGCAGUAAUGGUAGAUUUAAUAGGUGGAGGUAUCUACAAAUGGGUUGUAGAUCUUUGUUCAAUCCCACUGUAAAGAUGUUGCCACCAGCCCAGUUGCUGGUCACUUCUGGCUAAUUUUUUUUAAGGCUCUUAGCAUAGGUGUCAGUGCAUUGAAGGCAGUAUGUAUUAAGUAUUACUGUGUAAUAUCAUUGUCAUAUUAUGCCUGUACAAAAUCAAUUUAUAUCUCCCUGUUGAGGUCUCUAUAUCUCCCAGGGGUCAUGUGUGAUAAAAAAACGCAAUGUCCAGGGAAAAUGGUUGCCAAUACUUGCCAUAUUGAUUCUGUGUCACUAGUAAAUUAUUAUUAUUAUUAUUAUUAUUUUUGUGUGUGUUUUUUUUUUUUUUUUUUUUUUUUUUUUUUGUGUGUAAAUUAUAGUGCAUUAAAAAAAUUUAAUUUGAUCUUUAGGUUGCACUGUCCCAUGCCUGUUUUUAUGGCACUGCUGUUUUCACCUGCAAUUUUAUUGCCACUGCUGCCCCACCAAAAAAGUAAAAAGAAAACAAAAAAUUGAAGGACAAAAAAAAACUUCUGAGAAAAAGAAAAAAAAAUUGCACAUUUCCCUGGAACCCUUUUUCUAUCUGUGGCCUUAGAGAAUAAGGUUUGGAGGCAACUAAGCAUGCAUACUUUCCUGUAAUUUGUAUAUUUGCAUGUAAAUGCACAUUGCUCGUUUUUAAUUUGCUUGUGAUGAAAGAAUUCCUAUAUGAGUGUUACAUUUAGUGCUGUUUGGCAUUGCUUGAAUUUUGAUCUACUCUGGUCAAAUAUAUUUUUUAUCCACACAUUUGUAGGACCCACAACUUACUACUAGGACUUGCUACUUAUAAUUACUUAAAAGCAGUACCAUACAAGCUCACUUUUUUAAUUUCUUUUCCCCUUGUUUCCCUGUAGAUGCUAUUUAAAAUGUCACGUGGAUUUUUUUUUUCAUUUGUAAUGACACCUCCUUUCUUAUAAAAGCUCUAAAAAAGAUGAAGAUCAAUUUUCUUGCCUAGUGCCUUUUGUCUUAUCUUUUUUCAUAUGCUGGAAGUUGGAAGUAACUUCUGAUGGGUGUUGUGAAGUGGUGUGCGAUGCAUCAAGCAGAUGCAUCACACUUUCCUGCUGUUAUUACAGUUGAGGGCUUAUCUUUUCGUGUUUGGUGGGAAUUAUCAACAAUGGUCAUACUUCAUUUGACAAAAUAAUAUAGAGAAAGAGUAGCGCUGCAAAAGUAUAUUUAUGGGAAUUUUUGAAUCUAGAGUGAACCUACCUCACAACUUCUUUCUUACUUCUGACCAUUUACUGUAGUUGACUGAACACAGUUUUAUUCACCGAGUGUAAAAUGUCUGAUGUUCCUUCUAAUAUGAUGUUGAUGAUAGUUCUCCUUCAGUCUUUGUCAUUGUUGGAGGAACUUAAAAUUAUAACAAGGCACGCAAUUUUGUUUGGUACACUAAUAACAAGACAAAUGAUUCUUUGUUCGUUGAUUUUGUCUGUUUGCAGCAUCGAAGGUGGAUCCUUUGCAACUUGAAUAUUUUAACUUCUCUGGCAGGGUGAUUGCCUUAGCCUUGAUGCAUAAAAUACAAGUUGGCAUUGCCUUUGAUCGUGUGUUCUUUCUGCAAUUGGCUGGGCAUGAUAUUUCUUUAGAAGAUAUUCGGGACGCAGAUCCUUGCCUGUAUAGUAGCUGCAAGCAAAUAUUGGAGAUGGAUCCUGUGGCAGUUGACCAAGAUGCCCUUGGUCUCACCUUUUCUCAUGAAGUUGAACAGUUAGGAUCAAGGAAAGUUAUUGAGCUAUGCCCUGAUGGGACCAGCAUCAUUGUAAACAGUAAAAAUAGGAACGAGUAUGUUGAUUCUCUUAUUCAGCAUUAUUUUGUCACGUCCAUUGCUGACCAGGUCACCAAUUUUGCUCAAGGUUUUGCUGACAUUAUAAGUAGCCCACAGCUCCAGAGAUCCUUUUUCCAAAGUUUAAACCCCGAAGACCUUGAUUUUAUGCUGCAUGGAAGUGAAAGUGAAAUUUCUGUGGAAGAUUGGAAAGCGCAUACAGAAUAUAAUGGCUACAAAGAAACUGACUUGCAGAUAUCCUGGUUCUGGAAGGUAUGUCUGCAGAACACUUUUUGGUCUUCCCUAUUCAAAUAUAUUUAUGUGUCAGCUCCUCGCACCUCCUACAUACUCCUAGAAUACAAAUCCAAGAACAAAAGAUCAGUGGAAAAUGAAAACAACCAUUAAUUACAGCCCGGGGGGGGGGGGGGGGGGGGACAAUUUUUUUUGCAAACAUCAUCAGCAGCCCACUUGACAAGUGGACAGCCUUCUUGAACAUUUGUAGCCAAACUUCUCACUUUCCUGUAAACAUCAUCAGCAGCCCACUCGACAAUACAGCUUUUACCCACAAGCAACCAAAACGUAAGGCAUCUAGCAAUAUGGUUUUUUACAAACAUACUAGUCAACUACUAUAACUCGAUAGGUGGUACAUGAAGAAAUAAAUCUCAGAACAGGCUGUGGGGUGGGAGCAAGAUUUUUUAUCUUGCUUCUGUUUGGGAUCUUCAGCAGGGAGAACUCCUGAUAAAAAUCAAAGAUUUCGGUAUCUUUCUUAACUAAAUCCAAGCAGCCUGUAGCAUACGGCAUCUGGAGCAGAUAAACUCAAGUUAUCCAUAACUGUUUAGAUGCUUAAUAGAUGCGAGUGGUUCUUUGAAAAUGUUAGUUUUAUUUCUUCAAGUUGUAAUUAUAAUUUCAUUUUUAGGCUAAAACAUUUUUUUAUUGUUUUUGCUCCCAAGAAAUUCAGUGUUACGACUUGCGAGUAUAUGAAGUCGAAGGCUGUGGUUGUCAAUGGUUUGAUCCUCCCCUUUGUCUCUGAAAUUUCAGGUUUCCAACAGAUGGUGAAGUUGUAGGUUGACCAGUUUAAGAACAUCGUCUUGGGACCCUCAAGCGUAUUUUCUUGCGAAAGACUUUUAGGGCUGUUGCUGCUGGCAGUAUAGUUCCUGCGUAAUUUAUUAAUUCUGCCAUGUCUGUCCAAGUUCGCUGAGCAAUUCUAUAUCAGAAUUGAGUUUUGAAGAACAAAAAAUAUCACAUGCUGAUUAUUAGUAUAAAUUAUUUUGGUUGUUUUUCCUUAUUUUCUCUUCAACUUAUUUAUCCUUCACAUUUUUUGUAUCGACCUCUCACAAUUCACAAGGAUGUAGAAACUGUAGUUAAAAGAAAUAAUUGUGACUCAGCUUGGACCGUUGUCAAAUAGAUUUGGCCUCGAC